ACUCAUUGUCUUUCCUCUUGACCCCUACCCCUUCCAAACUGCCCUUUUACCAUAGAGAGGAGUACUCUUUCCCCAGUCCCUGAGGCUUGUAAUCCUUGUAUUCAAUCUCUUGCCAAGAAUUGUCAAUUUUAUCAUUGUCAUAUCUCUGGAAUAUGCCUCUUUCUUUCUACAGUUUCAGACUAUUGCAGUAUUGUGUUGGUGGGUGUCCCUGACUCAGAUCUCUCUCUACUCCAACUUAUUCUCCAUUUGGUCACAUAAGUGAUUUCUUAAAACACAAUUAUAACCAUGACAUUCCCCUACUCAUUAUACUCCAGUGGCCCCCUAUUAUCAUGAGCCUUAAAUACAAAAUACACAGGAAGUGAUGUAAAGAACUGCCAUUAUAUUUCAUGUCACUUCCUGUGAGAGGGACUUUGGCAGUGGAACUUGACUUGGAGGAGCUCAACUGUGAGACCUCAGACUGCUUCCCUGAGAUGAUCACGUGGCGAAUGUAAUGGUCUCCAUCCUUUAGAUCAUCUUUCAUCAAAAGCACCUCAACAGGAAGCAGCCUCAACUUGCCAGUCACCCUCAGAAGGAAGAAGGAGAAAAGAAGACAAAGAAGAAGAAAAAGAAGAAGAAGAAAAGAAGAAGGAAAAAGAAGAAGAAGAAGAAGAAGAAGAAGAAGAAGAAGAAGAAGAAGAAGAAGGUGUUAUAUUUUGUUCUGCCUUCAUACUCUAUCAGUUCUUUUUCUGAAGGCAGAUAACAUUUUUAUCAUGAGUCUCUGGAUCAUUAUAUUGCAUAGAAUAAGGAGGUCAUUCACAGUUGUUCAUCAAAAAGUAUUGUUUUUAUUAUGUACAAUGUUCUCUUUUCUAUUCAUUUUGCAUCAGUUCAUCUAAGUAUUUCCAAGUUUUUUCUUUAUGAAAUAAUCUUGCUUGUCAUUUCUUAUGGCAUAAUAGUAUUCUAUUAUAAUCAUAUCCCACAACUUAUUCACCUAUUCUCCAUUUUCCUCAUUUUCCAAUUCUUUGCUACCACAUAGAGAGCUGCGAUAACUAUUUUUGUAUAAAUAGGUCCUUUUCUCUCUUUUUAAAACAUCUUUGGGAUACAUAUAUAGAAAUGUCUAUAUCAAAGGGUAUGUAUAGUUUUAGAGCCCUUUGGGCAUAGUUUCAAAUUGUACUUAAGAAUGAUUGGAUCAUAAGAAAUGAUGAAUAGAAUGUUUUCAGAAAGAGCUGGAAAGACCUAUCUGAACUGAUAAAGAAUAAAAAAAUCAGAACUAGGAGAACA
rnacentral:lncRNA from 1 species